rnacentral:rRNA from 1 species
GGGCCCGCACAAGCGGCGGAGCAUGCGGAUUAAUUCGAUGCAACGCGAAGAACCUUACCUGGGUUUGACAUAUGCCGGAAAGCCGUAGAGAUAUGGCCCCUUUUGUCGGUAUACAGGUGGUGCA